ACGCGUCAUUCCUCACUGACAGAACAUGCACACAUAAAAACUCUCUCUUAUAGAUUUAACAUCAUAAACAGUUAUAUUAUAGACUGCAAACCCUUGAAAGAUAGAGUUUUGCAUUGACAAAUAUUUCACUUUACUCAUUUCACAUUCAUGUAUACAUCUUAAACACAUACAAAACACCAAAUACAUGUACUGCAAUUACUGCAAAAAAACUAUUCUUAACCAGUACUUUAUGGAAACAUCCUUAAAACAAGAUUAAUUCACCUGAGAAGUAAAACCACAGUGUAUUUUGUCUUGAUUCAAAGGUAGAUUUAAGCAUAAACUCACUAAAAACAAGUGCACUUUUGCCUAAAAUACACUUAUAUACAAGUUGCAUUCUUACAAAAUCUCAGUUAUCUUUUUUCAAGGAUGUUUUUAGGUGGAAAACAAGACAGAAUACUGGCUAAGAACAUGAUUUUUGGAGUGUUGCAAAGUAUGCAAAGGACAAACACACACAGAGAGAUGAUCAUUCAUAGACUCAUGCACGUGAACUUCUCUAGGUCCAUCAGUGCUUUAACAUGCAAAUCAAAGUGAACCUUCCCCUUGAUACUGAUGACGUAUGUAAGGAAGUGAGGAGAACGCCAUGCACACACAGAUACAGAGGAGACGCGCGAGAGCUGCAGCGAUGAGAUGUGGAGAAGACAUGAGGAGAAUCUGCUGAACGUCAAAAGAUACUGAUCCAUGACAGCAGACGACAAUGAGGUCAAACACAGAGGAAAAUUUACCGCUCAGAGGUUAGGCUUUCAUCACAUGGCUUUCAGAUCUAAGUGAACUUUAUCUCAGAUGUUUGUCCUUAAAUUGAUUAAGGGAAAUAUAAUGUUGAGCUAAAAAAUUGUGCAUAGCAAAGAUGAACUUUUGAGUUCAAAUUACAUUAACUGCACACUUUGGUAAAAUCUAAUGACAGUUUGAGGCACUGUUCUGAAAUCUAAAGGAGACACAUGUGAGAUCACUAGGGUCUUAUUCUCAGGUUAAAAAUCUGUAUAGCAGGAGAUUUAAAGGAACUUUCCAGGUUCAGAACAAGUUAAGCUUUAUCAACAGCUGUUAUUACCACAGAAAAUAUUCAGCUUGUCCCUCAAGUUAGUAAAAACAAGCAAAAAUCACAUCUAUUAUAAUAUACUAACAAUGGAAGUUAAUUGAGACAGGCAUUGUAUUUUUUGCUACCAUUGUAUUUUACAACUACCCAUAAAGUAUUUUAUUUCACCUGCAGAAAAUGCAUUGAUUAAACAUCAACUGUACAAAUAAAAUUAAAGCACUUUAAGAAAAAUAUAAGCUUUAUAUUACUGUUUUAAAUGAAAUACAGCACACAUAACUACUGCUUGUUUGUAUAAACCAAGAGACAAGUUGAAACUAUUUUCUCUGGAAAUCAAGCUUUACACUCUUAAAGAUUCCAAAGGAUCAAAAGAAGAAACAAAAAAUAUAUAAAAAUAUGAAAGAACAAACUAAAUAUCAAACAGAGAAAACAAAAGCAUAAACAAAAUUCAAACAAAAUGAAAUAAAGAAUGAACUAGAGAGCUAAUAUACUAGCUAAAAAAUCCUGGGUUAUUUUUUCUACCCAAAUCCUGGGUUGAGCCUUUUGGGUCAUUUUGUUUGGGUUAUUUUUCCACUGUUUGUGUAGUUUUUGUGUUACUCAGAUCCUGGGUCAGACGUAAUAACCCAGGGAUUGAGUUAUUUAUUGCGGGCUUUUUGCGCCCUUUUCAGGAGAGAGCAAUGCAGCUCCGUCAAAUUGGUGCAUGUCUUCAGUAAAAUACAGGCAUCAACAUGGCCAACCGUUUAGCUGGGAGUGGGUGAGGCAGGGGUCCUGAUGGAGGUGAUCGCCCCACAGACUGGCACCGUGGAGCCGCUCCAGAGACACAAUCGGAGAAAGUGCCCAGCAUUGUGAAGGGCAAGAGAGAGGGCAACCCAGUUUAAUCUAUGCCAUAUUAUUAAAGCAUUUGCAUUGAUUAUCUUAAUAGUUUAUGUCUUUAUAUUCAACAAAUAAUGAUGUUAAACAAGUAUACAAGCAGCAAUGUCACAUUAGUCUGUUAAAAAAAGAGUAUAUACUCUAUAUAUCCAAUGAAACCACUGUUGUGCCCAGGUAGUUUUCCCUCCACAAUGUCUUGCACUUCCAGGUCAGGAUUUUUGAAGACGUAACGGCACGUCCGCAGUGGCAGUCUGGAGGGUGAUAGACGUACAGAGGGGUCAAGCUGAUGAAAACACGGGGUGUAAGAGGAGGACGACAAACCAACCGGGCGCUACCAAGUGCUCCAUCACCGAGACAACAGGAGAGGACCUAAAUCUAGCAAAUUCAUCUGCAGCCUAUUCCUGCCCCUUAACUGAUAAUUAUACAAACUGUAAUAGACAACCUACAAGAAUAAACUGUGGCUAAACUGAAGACAAAAUCACAUGCUCAUAGAGGUCUGUCUUUAAGUAUUCAGCUGUAUGGCAACAUUUCUGUUCAGUCUUCAAGGUUUAAUGGAACAGUUUGCACAAAAAUAAAAAUUCAAGAUCAUUUAUUCACCCUCAAACCCAUAUGUUUUGGAGGAUGUUCAAACUGCUCUUUUCUAUUCAAUGAAAGCAUAUAGUGAUUAGGGCAAUGUUGUUAUUGUUAACUAAAGCUAUAGCCAUCUGAUUAGCUGUGCAUUUACUGAAUUACUACUGACUGCAUUUGUUUUUUAUACAUUUUAAAUACAUUUUUUUUUUUUUAAAAAACUUUGUUAUUUUUUAUCUUAUGCAUCUGUUAUCUGUUAUAAUUUGAAAUUCCUUUUUAAUGUAAAGCACUUUGAAUAUCACCAUUGUGAAAGUAUGUGCUAUAUAUAUAUAUAUAUAUAUAUAUAUAUAAACUUGCCUUGCCUUUCAACUAAAACUAUUACAGAUUUAUUUAAUUUAAAUAAAGCUUAAAAAUUAAAUAAGUUUAAGUUGAAGUACUAAAAUUUCUAAAACCUAAACUAGAAUAAAAAAAAAUAUUAAAGCUAAACAGAAAUAUUUAAUAUAUAAAAAUAAAAUAAUAUACUAAAAAUAAGAUAAUGCGUGCGUAAAUAUAUAUAUAUAAAGCUAAUUCAAAAUAUUAAUAAAUACUAUAAUAGCAUAUAAAUAAUACUAAGCUAACACUUAUCAGGCAAUGUCUAGCACCAAAAAAAAAAAAAAAAAAAAAAAUCCAUAAAA